CMWWWUUAAWAGGCAAGUGCAWUCCAKAACCUGUUUUYCCCGCUSGCCCCCYYYWWMAGGGGKGWUGRAUWUKGUKKKMWUWMGCCCUUAGAGUUUGAUCCUGGCUCAGAACGAACGCUGGCGGCGUGCUUAACACAUGCAAGUCGAACGUGAUCCAGAGCUUGCUCUGGUGAAAGUGGCGCACGGGUGAGUAACGCGUGGAUAACCUGCCCUGGUAUCUGGGAUAACAUCUCGAAAGGGGUGCUAAUACCGGAUAAGCCUACGGACUCCUCGGAGUCUGCAGGAAAAGGAGGCCUCUAUUUAUAAGCUUCCGUAUCAUGAUGGGUCCGCGUACCAUUAGCUAGUUGGUGGGGUAAUGGCCUACCAAGGCGACGAUGGUUAGCUGGUCUGAGAGGAUGAUCAGCCACACUGGAACUGAGACACGGUCCAGACUCCUACGGGAGGCAGCAGUGGGGAAUUUUGCGCAAUGGGGGAAACCCUGACGCAGCAACGCCGCGUGAGUGAUGAAGGCUUUCGGGUCGUAAAGCUCUGUCAGAGGGGAAGAAAUGAAACGUGCUAAUAUCACGUUUUCUUGACGGUACCCUCAAAGGAAGCACCGGCUAACUCCGUGCCAGCAGCCGCGGUAAUAC
rnacentral:rRNA from 1 species